AUAAUACUACCUCCGUCCGGAAUUACUUGUCAUCAAAAUGGAUGUGUCUAGAACUAAAAUACAUCUAGAUACACCCAUUUCAAUGACAAGUAUUUUCGGACGGAGGGAGUAGUAG
rnacentral:pre_miRNA from 1 species